UACGUAGGUGGCAAGCGUUGUCCGGAUUUACUGGGCGUAAAGCGCGCGCAGGCGGCUUGUUAAGUCUGCUGUAAAAUCUCCCGGCUCAACCGGGAGGAGCCAGCGGAUACUGGCAGGCUUGAGGCAAGCAGAGGAAGGUGGAAUUCCCGGUGUAGUGGUGAAAUGCGUAGAUAUCGGGAGGAACACCAGUGGCGAAGGCGGCCUUCUGGGCUUGUCCUGACGCUGAGGCGCGAAAGCGUGGGGAGCGAACCGG
rnacentral:rRNA from 1 species